rnacentral:rRNA from 1 species
GAGCAUCCUACGGGAGGCAGCAGUGGGGAAUAUUGCACAAUGGGCGCAAGCCUGAUGCAGCCAUGCCGCGUGUAUGAAGAAGGCCUUCGGGUUGUAAAGUACUUUCAGCAGUGAGGAAGGUGGAUAUGUUAAUAGCAUAUUCAUUUGACGUUAGCUGCAGAAGAAGCACCGGCUAACUCCGUGCCAGCAGCCGCGGUAAUACGGAGGGUGCGAGCGUUAAUCGGAAUUACUGGGCGUAAAGCGCAUGCAGGUGGUUUGUUAAGUCAGAUGUGAAAGCCCGGGGCUCAACCUCGGAAUUGCAUUUGAAACUGGCAAACUAGAGUACUGUAGAGGGGGUAGAAUUUCAGGUGUAGCGGUGAAAUGCGUAGAGAUCUGAAGGAAUACCGGUGGCGAAGGCGGCCCCCUGGACAGAUACUGACACUCAGAUGCGAAAGCGUGGGGAGCAAACAGGAUUAGAUACCCUGGUAG